rnacentral:rRNA from 1 species
GACGAACGCUGGCGGCGUGCCUAAUACAUGCAAGUAGAACGCACAGUUUAUACCGUAGCUUGCUACACCAUAGACUGUGAGUUGCGAACGGGUGAGUAACGCGUAGGUAACCUGCCUGGUAGCGGGGGAUAACUAUUGGAAACGAUAGCUAAUACCGCAUAAUAUUAAUUAUUGCAUGAUAAUUAAUUGAAAGGUGCAAUUGCACCACUACCAGAUGGACCUGCGUUGUAUUAGCUAGUAGGUGAGGUAACGGCUCACCUAGGCGACGAUACAUAGCCGACCUGAGAGGGUGAUCGGCCACACUGGGACCGAGACACGGCCCAGACUCCUACGGGAGGCAGCAGUAGGGAAUCUUCGGCAAUGGACGAAAGUCUGACCGAGCAACGCCGCGUGAGUGAAGAAGGUUUUCGGAUCGUAAAGCUCUGUUGUAAGAGAAGAACGGGUGUGAGAGUGGAAAGUUCACACUGUGACGGUAUCUUACCAGAAAGGGACGGCUAACUACGUG